AUGACGCUUGUGGUUUUCAAAUGCGUUUUUACUUGGGAAAGCCGGGCGGGGAAAGGAAAGGUCAUCGUCUGUUUAAUUUCCACCCCCAGCCCAGGACUUCCAGCAUUAGCUCGCCGGGCCUCAGCUGUUGUACACACACGGGGAGGGGGGAGGGGAAGGCGGAGGCGCGGAGGCGGGGCCGCCUGUGAGGAAUCUGGGCGCCCUGCCGCGCAUGCGCCCUCCCCGAGCAACAAGUGGCUCCACAGACAGAGGAAGUGUAAAGGGGAGGGAGGGGGGAGAAGUGGUGCAGAGCAUGGCGGUGACGUCAGCGCUCCGCCCGGGCGGCAUCCCGCGCGGCCAAGCCGGGGACAGCGCGAGCCGCAGCGCGAGCGGGAGCGCCGAGACGCGCCUCCGGAACGUAGAGUAACAAUCACAACCCCACAUUCCGGGCGAGUGCGAGCGGGAAGGGAUGCGACCCGGGCCGAGGCGCCGCGCGAGCGCCCUGCAGCCAACGUGAGCGCCGCCAGCGGAACGGCCGACGCUGCGGAGGGGAGAAGCUCCUCUCGGCGGCCACCCCCUCCCUCCCCCGGCGACUUCAGCAAGAUUGGACCCGGGCACCGGGUGGCACUGAGCCCUCUAGCCUUCGCCCCAGUGAGCCUGGCGGGGAGAGGACGCAGCUCGUAGGGGGGCCCCCAGGGAGAGGAAGAGACCACCCCUUUCGAGCUUCCAGGCACCAGCCACUCCGGGGAGGGGGCCAAGAGCCCACGGCGGCCAGCACCCGGCACCCUCGCCCCCUCCCCUCGGGCCCGGAGCUCGCAGCCCGGGUCCGCGGCACCAGGAAGAAGGCGCCCGAGCUCCCCUCCCGACGACACAGCCGCAGUAGGAGGUGGGGGCGACGAGCGGGCAGCACUCGUCCGCCGCCCCGGCGGUGGAGCCCCCACGGAGAGGCGCUGCGCCGGCGGUGGAGACUCGCGCUCCCUCCAGCCCCUGGGGCAGAACUUUCUCGCCCCCCCUUCCUCCCCCGCAGCCGGACUCCCUCCCCAGCCGGCCAGUCCUCCCGGAGGAGAAGGCGCCGCGGAGACAGCCUGGGCGGGGGCCUACCUUCUCCAGGGCGGGCAUCAUGUCUGCGGCGCAGGUGUCCUCGUCCCGGAGACAGUCUUGCUACCUGUGCGACCUGCCCCGCAUGCCCUGGGCCAUGAUCUGGGACUUCUCGGAACCCGUAUGCCGCGGUUGCGUC
rnacentral:lncRNA from 12 species